UUUGGUUGAGAGGGUUGUCUCAAUAGUACCAAAGUGUUAGAGAAGGUUUGUGAGCUCAACCAUAAAGCUCUAGUUUGGUUUUAUAGAGUUUCCGGGAAAACUCUUAGGUUGAGUCUACCUUUAAAGAUUUCAGAGGUUUUAAGAGUUCCUUGAUACUCUAAGGUACUAACUUACCCGUAAAAGUUAGAGGUUCUUAAGAGUGCCCUUGAUACUCUAAGGUGUGAGUCUACCCGUAAAAGACUGGUUCCUAAGCGAAGUAGCCAUAAAGCUUAGAGAGGUUUUUAAGAGUUCCUUGAUACUCUAAGGUACUAACUUACCCGUAAAAGUUAGAGGUUCUUAAGAGUGCCCUUGAUACUCUAAGGUGUGAGUCUACCCGUAAAAGACUGGUUCCUAAGCGAGGUAGCCUUAAAGCUUAGAAAGGUUUUGCCAUUACCUUUAGGCGAGUGAAUUCCGGCUGUUGGUCGGGACUGGACUAGCCCUUGUUUGGGUGAACCAGUAUAAAUCUCUUGUGUUGUUCUCUGUUAAUUAUAGUUCUAUCUUUUACUUAAAAAACAACACUUAAUUAAAAAGAUCCCUCUUCCAGUUACCUGGUCAAACACAGAGGUUGACUACUUUACGCAGAUCCCUCAUCCAGUUAUCUGGUCAACUAUCUGAGGUUAUAUUCAUUGCUCUAAAUUCUUAUAUUUGUUCAAGUAUUACUUAUCAUAUUUAUCCAGUUAUCUGGUCACUUACUUGUUUAUCAAAUUAUCCAGUUAUCUGGUCAUUUACCUGUUUGUCAAUAUAUCCAGUUAUCUGGUCAUUUACCUGUUUGUCAAUAUAUCCAGUUAUCUGGUCAUUUACUUGCUUAUCAAUAUAUCCAGUUAUCUGGUCAUUUACUCUACAAUACAAUUUGUGUUUCCAAUAUAACUUAGUAUCCAUAUACUAUAGUUGUGUGUGAAACACUAUCAAGCAAGUUGACUCAGUAUUCAUAUACUGUAGUAAGCUUCAAAGAGUAAUACUUACAGUAUUAUAUCAAUUAAAAUAAUAAUAUCCUUAUAUCAUUACUGUUCAACCAUUUGUUUAUUAAGCUUUUACAGGUAAUUCCGCUAUCAACCUGUAUAAAUCGAAAAGAGGCUAUCACCCCCCCUUAUAGCCUCGGAUCACGAUCCAACA
rnacentral:lncRNA from 1 species